ACUUGGGCCCGCACCCACCCACGGGCCUCAUUUAAACUCAGCCCCGGAGAGCAGCUCCACAUUGGGAGUGUAGGUGUUGUGCUUUGUUCUUGUGGUGAGCUGCAUGGUGAUACCUUCUCAGCCCUGCCUGCUCCCUGUGAAGAUCUGUCCCUGGGACCUGCCAGCAACUGCUGUGCCUGCACCUACCUCGUCCUGCUGCUAAUGGCCAUGCAAAGGCUGCAGGAUUCUCCUGUCCCUGAAAGGAACGAGGUGGGGGUGGGAGCACCCUGGCAAGGAAGGCAAAACUGCAGUGUGAUGCUAGAACUCUGGCUGGAGUUGAGCACCUGCAGCUUCCUGAAUUCAUAACUACUAGGAAGAUUAAAAUGUUCAGUAUUGGAUAACACAUAGACUGGGAUGGAAUUUCAUCAGACUGAAGAAAAUAUAUCUUACCUUCACACCCUGCUCAAACUCCACACCCCUAAAUUCUGCCAUUUCCUAUAGAACAGUUCUGAUGCUCUCCAGUUACUCAGAGCUCAGAAAAUUAAAGCGAUCAGGAUCUGAAAUUAAUACUCGAGUAAAAAGCUAACUUUGUAG
rnacentral:lncRNA from 7 species